rnacentral:lncRNA from 1 species
UAUUAUUUUUAGGAAAAAAAGUGUGUGACACCCCAAUAAUCCCACAUCGGAUGGGAAUGGUGUUGUCAUUGGGUUUAUAAGAGACUUAGACACUAGUAAUAAUAACUGGGCUUAAGCAUUUUGGGCCGGUGGUUGGGCCCAACGAGUUAUUAUUGCUAGUGGGCUGGGUCGUUAUAUUUGGUAUCAGAGCCAGUUCACCGGCUGGACAUGUGUGACGAGUCUCGACUGAGUCAGGGUCUGGAUGACGGGCUAGCGAGACAAGUCUCACAUCGCUUGGUGAUCUUGGGCUGUGUGUGUGAUUGGACUGACGAGGUGCCUUAACGGGGGGAGUCUGUGACACCCCAAUAAUCCACAUCGGAUGGGAAUGGUGUUGUCAUUGGGUUUAUAAGAGACUUAGACACUAGUAAUAAUAACUGGGCUUAAGCAUUUUGGGCCGGUGGUUGGGCCCAACGAAUUAUUAUUGCUAGUGGGCUGGGUCGUUAUAAAGUGAAUAUUUGUUUUAUAAUUUUACUCAAAAGAUCAUUUUAAUAGAAAAAUU